rnacentral:rRNA from 1 species
UACGGAGGAUCCAAGCGUUAUCCGGAUUUAUUGGGUUUAAAGGGUGCGUAGGCGGCCAACUAAGUCAGACGUGAAAUCCCUCGGCUUAACCGGGGAACUGCGUCUGAUACUGGAUGGCUGGAGUUUGGGAGAGGGAUGCGGAAUUCCAGGUGUAGCGGUGAAAUGCGUAGAUAUCUGGAGGAACACCGGUGGCGAAGGCGGCGUUCUGGACUGUCUCUGACACUGAAGAACGAAAGCCAGGGGAGCAAACGGG